CGCGGCUGCAAACAAUAUCACACACCUACCGUCACACUUCUUGGGGUGCUCUCACAAGAGCUGAGAUGUGGGGUAAGUGGAGGAAUCAAC
rnacentral:sRNA from 1 species